CACGUAGGGGGCAAGCGUUGUCCGGAUUCAUUGGGCGUAAAGAGCUCGUAGGCGGUUCGAUAAGUCGGGUGUGAAACCUCCAGGCUCAACCUGGAGACGCCACCCGAUACUGUCGUGACUAGAGUCCAGUAGGGGAGCGUGGAAUUCCUGGUGUAGCGGUGAAAUGCGCAGAUAUCAGGAGGAACACCAGCGGCGAAGGCAGGUCUCUGGGCCGAUACUGACGCUGAGGAGCGAAAGCGUGGGGAGCGAACAGG
rnacentral:rRNA from 1 species